rnacentral:rRNA from 1 species
UCAAAAACCGGUACCCAGUUCGGAUUGUAGGCUGCAACUCGCCUACAUGAAGUCGGAGUUGCUAGUAAUCGCGGAUCAGAAUGCCGCGGUGAAUGCGUUCCCGGGUCUUGUACACACCGCCCGUCACACCAUGGAAGUUGGGGCGCCCGAAGUUGCCUAAGAAAUAAGGUACCUAAGGCGAAACCAAUGACUGGGGUGAAGUCGUAACAAGGUACC